rnacentral:rRNA from 1 species
AUUGAACGCUGGCGGCAUGCCUUACACAUGCAAGUCGAACGGUAACGCGGGGCAACCUGGCGACGAGUGGCGAACGGGUGAGUAAAGCAUCGGAACGUGCCCAGUAGGGGGGGAUAGCCCGGCGAAAGCCGGAUUAAUACCGCAUACGACCUAUGGGUGAAAGGGGGGGAUCGCAAGACCUCUCGCUAGUGGAGCGGCCGAUGUCAGAUUGGGUUGUUGGUGGGGUAAAGGCCUACCAAGCCGACGAUCUGUAGCUGGUCUGAGAGGACGACCAGCCACACUGGGACUGAGACACGGCCCAGACUCCUACGGGAGGCAGCAGUGGGGAAUUUUGGACAAUGGGCGCAAGCCUGAUCCAGCCAUGCCGCGUGCGGGAAGAAGGCCUUCGGGUUGUAAACCGCUUUUGUCAGGGAAGAAAUCCUUUGGGUUAAUACCUCGGGGGGAUGACGGUACCUGAAGAAUAAGCACCGGCUAACUACGUGCCAGCCGCCGCCGUAA